UUAUAAAUAAUUACAAACAGAUCUCCAAAAAAUGCAGUUUAGCUUAGCUCAGCUGCAUUUUUUGGAGAUCUGUUUGUAAUUAUUUUUCCCUGAAGAA